GGCUUGUUGAUUUUAAUUUCAGGUCUGACCUGCCCAAUGAUAUUUAUUUUAAUGGCCGCAGUAUAUUAACUGUGCAAAGGUAGCAUAAUCAUUAGUUUUUUAAUUGGAAGCUUGUAUGAAGGGUUUGAUGAAAAAAUUUCUGUCUCUAGAGAAAUUUAUUAGAAUUUUAUUUUUAAGUGAAAAAGCUUAGAUUUACAUAGAAGACGAGAAGACCCUAUAGAGUUUUAUAUUUAUGUUUAAUUAAUAUAAUUUAUAUUAAGUAUUUAGUUGGGGUGAUAGAAAAAUUGAUUUAACUUUUUCUUUUUUGUACAUUAAUUUAUGACUAUUUGAUCCUAGAUUUAGAUUAUAAGAAGAAACUACCUUAGGGAUAACAGCGUAAUUUUUUUUAGAGUUCUUAUCGAAAAGAAAGAUUGCGACCUCGAUGUUGGAUUAAAAUUAAUUGUUGGUGAAGAAGUUUACAAAUUAGGUCUGUUCGACCUUUAAAAUUUUACAUGAUCUGAGUUUAAACCGGUGUGAG
rnacentral:rRNA from 1 species